UUACUUACCUGGCAGGGGAGAUACCAUGAUCACAAAGGUGGUUUUCCCAGGGCAAGGCUUACCCAUUGCACUCCGGAUGUGCUGACCCCUGCGAUUUCCCCAAAUGUGGGAAACUCGACCGCAUAAUUUGUGGUAGUGGGGGACUGCGUUCGCGCUCUCCCAUA
rnacentral:snRNA from 1 species